rnacentral:rRNA from 1 species
CCCUAUGGGGUGCAGCAGGCGAGAAAACUUUGCAAUGUGCGAAAGCACGACAAGGUUAAUCCGAGUGGUUUGUGCUAAACGAACCUUUUGUCGGUCCUAGAAACACCGAUGAAUAAGGGGUGGGCAAGUUCUGGUGUCAGCCGCCGCGGUAAAACCAGCACCUCAAGUGGUCAGGAUGAUUAUUGGGCCUAAAGCAUCCGUAGCCGGCUCUGUAAGUUUUCGGUUAAAUCUGUACGCUCAACGUACAGGCUGCCGGGAAUACUGCAGAGCUAGGGAGUGGGAGAGGUAGACGGUACUCGGUAGGAAGGGGUAAAAUCCUUUGAUCUAUUGAUGACCACCUGUGGCGAAGGCGGUCUACCAGAACACGUCCGACGGUGAGGGAUGAAAGCUGGGGGAGCAAACCGGAUUAGAUACCCGGGUAGUCCCAGCUGUAAACUAUGCAAACUCAGUGAUGCAUUGGCUUGUGGCCAAUGCAGUGCUGCAGGGAAGCCGUUAAGUUUGCCGCCUGGGAAGUACGUACGCAAGUAUGAAACUUAAAGGAAUUGGCGGGGGAGCACCACAAGGGGUGAAGCCUGCGGUUCAAUUGGAGUCAACGCCAGAAAUCUUACCCGGAGAGACAGCAGAACGAAGGUCAAGCUGAAGACUUUACCAGACAAGCUGAGAGGUGGUGCAUGGCC